rnacentral:rRNA from 1 species
GACGAACGCUGGCGGCGUGCUUAACACAUGCAAGUCGAACGGAAAGGCCCUGCUUUUGUGGGGUGCUCGAGUGGCGAACGGGUGAGUAACACGUGAGUAUCCUGCCCUUGACUUUGGGAUAACUUCAGGAAACUGGGGCUAAUACCGGAUAGGAGCUCCUGCUGCAUGGUGGGGGUUGGAAAGUUUCGGCGGUUGGGGAUGGACUCGCGGCUUAUCAGCUUGUUGGUGGGGUAGUGGCUUACCAAGGCUUUGACGGGUAGCCGGCCUGAGAGGGUGACCGGCCACAUUGGGACUGAGAUACGGCCCAGACUCCUACGGGAGGCAGCAGUGGGGAAUAUUGCACAAUGGGCGGAAGCCUGAUGCAGCAACGCCGCGUGCGGGAUGACGGCCUUCGGGUUGUAAACCGCUUUCGCCUGUGACGAAGCGUGAGUGACGGUAAUGGGUAAAGAAGCACCGGCCAACUACGUG